GAAAUGCGAUAAGUAAUGUGAAUUGCAGAAUUCAGUGAAUCAUCGAAUCUUUGAACGCACAUUGCGCCCGCCAGUAUUCUGGCGGGCAUGCCUGUUCGAGCGUCAUUUCAACCAUCAAGCCACCGGCUUGUGUUGGGGACCUGCGGCUGCCCGCAGGCCCUGAAAAACAGUGGCGGGCUCGCUGUCACACCGAGCGUAGUAGCAUACAUUCUCGCUCAGGGCGUGCUGCGGGUUCCGGCCGUUAAACGACCUUCAUAACCCAAGGUUGACCUCGGAUCAGGUAGGAAGACCCGCUGAACUUAAGC
rnacentral:misc_RNA from 1 species